rnacentral:rRNA from 1 species
AUUAGAGUUUGAUCAUGGCUCAGAACGAACGCUGGCGGCAGGCUUAACACAUGCAAGUCGAACGCAUCGCAAGAUGAGUGGCAGACGGGUGAGUAACGCGUGGGAACGUACCCUUUACUACGGAAUAACUCAGGGAAACUUGUGCUAAUACCGUAUGUGCCCUUCGGGGGAAAGAUUUAUCGGUAAAGGAUCGGCCCGCGUUGGAUUAGCUAGUUGGUGGGGUAAAGGCUCACCAAGGCGACGACGGGUAGGGGGCCUGAGAGGGUGAUCCCCCACACUGGGACUGAGACACGGCCCAGACUCCUACGGGAGGCAGCAGUGAGGAAUAUUGCUCAAUGGGCGAAAGCCUGAAGCAGCGACGCCGCGUGGGCGAAGAAGGUCUUCGGAUCGUAAAGCCCUUUUCUGCGUGACGAGGAAGGACGGUAGCGCAGGAAUAAGUGUCGGCUAACUACGUGCCAGCAGCCGCGGUAAUAAU